rnacentral:lncRNA from 1 species
UCAAGGGGAUACAAAUUGGAAAAGAGGAAGUCAAAAUAUCACUUUUUGCAGAUGAUAUGAUAGUAUAUAUAAGUGACCCUAAAAAUUCUACCAGAGAACUCCUAAACCUGAUAAACAGCUUCGGUGAAGUAGCUGGAUAUAAAAUAAACUCAAACAAGUCAAUGGCCUUUCUCUAUACAAGGAAUAAACAGGCUGAGAAAGAAAUUAGGGAAACAACACCCUUCUCAAUAGUCACAAAUAAUAUAAAAUAUCUUGGCGUGACUCUAACUAAGGAAGUGAAAGAUCUGUAUGAUAAAAACUUCAAAUCUCUGAAGAAAGAAAUUAAGGAAGAUCUCAGAAGAUGGAAAGAUCUCCCAUGCUCAUGGAUUGGCAGGAUCAACAUUGUAAAAAUGGCUAUCUUGCCAAAAGCAAUCUACAGAUUCAAUGCAAUCCCCAUCAAAAUUCCAACUCAAUUCUUCAACGAAUUGGAAGGAGCAAUUUGCAAAUUUGUCUGGAAUAACAAAAAACCUAGGAUAGCAAAAAGUCUUCUCAAGGAUAAAAGAACUUCUGGCGGAAUCACCAUGCCAGACCUAAAGCUUUACUACAGAGCAAUUGUGAUAAAAACUGCAUGGUACUGGUAUAGAGACAGACAAGUAGACCAAUGGAAUAGAAUUGAAGACCCAGAAAUGAACCCACACACCUAUGGUCACUUGAUCUUCGACAAGGGAGCUAAAACCAUCCAGUGGAAGAAAGACAGCAUUUUCAACAAUUGGUGCUGGCACAACUGGUUGUUAUCGUGUAGAAGAAUGCAAAUCGAUCCAUACUUAUCUCCUUGUACUAAGGUCAAAUCUAAGUGGAAAAAGGAACUUCACAUAAAACCACAGACACUGAAACUUAUAGAGGAGAAAGUGGGGAAAAGCCUUGAAGAUAUGGGCACAGGGGAAAAAUUCCUGAACAGAACAGCAAUGGCUUGUGCUGUAAGAUCGAGAAUUGACAAAUGGGACCUAAUGAAACUCCAAAGUUUCUGCAAGGCAAAAGACACUGUCAAUAAGACAAAAAGACCACCAACGGAUUGGGAAAGGAUCUUUACCUAUCCUAAAUCAGAUAGGGGACUAAUAUCCAACAUAUAUAAAGAACUCAAGAAGGUGGACUUCAGAAAAUCUAAUAACCCCAUUAAAAAAUGGGGCUCAGAAUUGAACAAAGAAUUCUCACCUGAGGAAUACCGAAUGGCAGAGAAGCACUUGAAAAAAUGUUCAACAUCCUUAAUCAUCAGGGAAAUGCAAAUCAAAACAACCCUGAGAUUCCACCUCACACCAGUCAGAAUGGCUAAGAUCAAAAAUUCGGGUGACAGCAGAUGCUGGCGUGGAUGUGGAGAAAGAGGAACACUCCUCCAUUGUUGGUGGGAGUGCAGGCUUGUACAACCACUCUGGAAAUCAGUCUGGCGGUUCCUCAGAAAACUGGACAUAGUACUACCGGAGGAUCCAGCAAUACCUCUCCUGGGCAUAUAUCCAGAAGAUGCCCCAACUGGUAAGAAGGACACAUGCUCCACUAUGUUCAUAGCAGCCUUAUUUAUAAUAGCCAGAAGCUGGAAAGAACCUAGAUGCCCCUCAACAGAGGAAUGGAUACAGAAAAUGUGGUACAUCUACACAAUGGAGUACUACUCAGCUAUUAAAAAGAAUGAAUUUAUGAAAUUCCUAGCCAAAUGGAUGGACCUGGAGGGCAUCAUUCUGAGUGAGGUAACACAUUCACAAAGAAACUCACACAAUAUGUAUUCACUGAUAAGUGGAUAUUAGCCCCAAACCUAGGAUAACCAAGAUAUAAGAUAUAAUUUGCUAAACACAUGAAACUCAAGAAGAAUGAAGACUGAAGUGUGGACACUAUGCCCCUCCUUAGAUUUGGGAACAAAACACCCAUGGAAGGAGUUACAGAGACAAAGUUUGGAGCUGAGAUAAAAGGAUGGACCAUGUAGAGACUGCCAUAUCCAGGGAUCCACCCCAUAAUCAGCAUCCAAACGCUGACACCAGUGCAUACACUAGCAAGAUUUUAGUGAAAGGACCCAGAUGUAGCUGUCUCUUGUGAGACUAUGCCGGGGCCUAGCAAACACAGAAGUGGAUGCUCACAGUCAGCUAAUGGAUGGAUCAUAGGGCUCCCAAUGGAGGAGCUAGAGAAAGUAGCCAAGGAGCUAAAGGGAUCUGCAACCCUAUAGGUGGAACAACAUUAUGAACUAACCAGUACCCCGGAGCUCUUGACUCUAGCUGCAUAUAUAUCAAAAGAUGGCCUAGUCGGCCAUCACUGGAAAGAGAGGCUCAUUGGACUUGCAAACUUUAUAUGCCCCAGUACAGGGGAACACCAGGGCCAAAAAGGGGGAGUGGGUGGGCAGGGGAGUGGGGGUGGGUGGAUAUGGGGGACUUUUGGUAUAGCAUUGGAAAUGUAAAUGAGUUAAAUACCUAAUAAAAAAUGGAAAAAUAAAAAAAAAAAGAUUUUUGGUAUUAAUUUCGCUCAUAAUCUCUUUUCCUUUAGGUAUAAAGUUAGCAUUAAGGUAAGUAUUCCAAAUAUCCCAUCCAGACAACAAAUAGCAGCAAAUAUUUCUUCAUGAUGUCUAUAAACAGUAACAGUUUAAAGGAAAUGAAAGCUUUAAUAUAUAGUCAAAAUAGUAAUAAUUAAAUAUAAAGUCAAAAUAGUAAUAAUUAAAUAUAAAAUAACAGAUAUCCCCGCACAAUUUUUCCUUAUAUGAUAAUUUAUUCAUUGUACAUUUCAGAUGAUAUUAAAUAAAAUCUUCAAAUAAAGUUAAAAUAUUUGAUAUUUGAACUUUUUUUUAGUAAUAGGCAUGCACAUUACGUUAAAAGUUUAUAUUUGUAUUUCAAUUGUACAUAAUUCUUUCUACAUUGAAAUUAGUUAUAAUAUAUGCCACAUUAUCUGUCUUGUGUUAGCCUAGUUUGAUGAGUAUAGUAGUUUAAGAUAAACAGAUUGACAGUGAGAGAGUAUCAUAAAGGUUCCUUCAUAAAAUAGUGACGAUUCUUUUGUACAUCUAAUGAUGCAUCGCCUCAUUUCUCAAGAACAAACUGUUUUAGUAUUAUUCAACUUAUAUUUUUCAGCUUUUAUAACUAUGUAAUUGUGUUUGUGUGUGUAUGAAUACAUACACACAUAUAUAUGUAUACACACACACACACACACACACUUCUUUCAAAUAUAAUUCUUCAAAGAUACUAGUUUUUCUUAGCAAUGCGAUUUCUAUAUAUAAGUCUUCUGUGUUAUUGGAGCACUGGAAUUUAUCAGCCAAAUUACCCAAGUGAUUUUGUUUGAAUAAAGUACUUGACCCAGCUCCAUCUGUGUGUAUUUUUGACUUGGCAAGAGGAAGGCACAUCUCCUAGGACUAUCCAUAUACAAUGUGGUUCCAAACCUUAGUACAUUUGCUUUUCAUUACUGUUUAUAGCUAAGGGGCCUUCUGAAUUUGGUGGGUUUUAUUUGAUCAAUUAACUAGAUCAGUAGCAGAGUAUAUAUGGCCAUAGAGUGCAUGUAGAUGGUUUCCAGUUCUCUCAGGC